AAGGCCCUCGGGUUGUAAAGCACUUUCAGUGGGGAAGAAAUUCUCAAGGCUAAUACCCUUUUGAGCGUUGACGUUACCCACAGAAGAAGCACUGGCUAACUCUGUGCCAGCAGCCGCGGUAAUACAGAGAGUGCAAGCGUUAAUCGGAAUCACUGGGCGUAAAGCGCGCGUAGGUGGAUAUUUAAGUCGGAUGUGAAAGCCCUAGGCUUAACCUGGGAAUUACAUCCGAUACUAGGUAUCUCGAGUAUGAUAGAGGGAAGUGGAAUUUCCGGUGUAGCGGUGAAAUGCGUAGAUAUCGGAAAGAACAUCAGUGGCGAAGGCGGCUUCCUGGAGCAAUACUGACACUGAGGCGCGAAAGCGUGGGGAGCAAACAGGAUUAGAGACCCUGGUAGUCCACGCCGUCAACGAUGAGAACUAGCUGUUGGAAAGUUUACUUUCUAGUAGCAAAGCUAACGCGUUAAGUUCUCCGCCUGGGGAGUACGGCCGCAAGGUUAAAACUCAAAGAAAUUGACGGGGGCCCGCACAAGCGGUGGAGCAUGUGGUUUAAUUCGAUGCAACACGAAAAACCUUACCUACCCUUGACAUCCUCG
rnacentral:rRNA from 1 species